UUAGGUCAUCUCAUAACUUAAUCAAACCUGACCUGAUUGAAUCCAAUUCAAUCAGACUUUAUCCAAACUUUAAUGCUCAAUCAAAUUGAGCUAAUUAGUGAUCUAAUUAUUAACUAAUUCUUCAUUAAUGAUAGAGUCCUAGUCCAGUGAAACUCUUCACCAAAGUCUCCAUCCAGUGGGACUCUUCAGAUCAGCCAUCUAAUCAGAGAGAAAUUUUUAAUGUGUGUGAUCCCAUAAGUUCGAACCUAAGUCGGUAGCACAAAAAUAGAUUUUUGUACUGAUCGGAGUAACCAUCUAGCAAUGAUACCUGACAUCCGGAU
rnacentral:lncRNA from 1 species